UCGAAUCUAAAUGCCUUCUUGACUUUUUAGGUCUGGAGGAUGAAAAUUGACAACCCAAAAACUGAAUUUCAUCAUCUGAAUAUUCUUUGAAUAGAUUAAUAAAGACCUUUUUAGUUCCACUGCUGCUAGGUUUUGAACAAAAAGAUGAUAUAAUCUCAACUUUGACGUCUCUUUUCCUUGAGUAUUUUUCACCAACAGUGUGAGUUAUUUUCUUCAAAUACAAAAAAUUGGGCGUGAAUCUAGGGUUAAUGUCUGAAAAAUAGAAGAAAACUUUCGAAAUUGCAAGAUUUUUGCUGCAGAAUUCUGAAAUUUGAAGUCGUGUGUUGCUGCUCCGCAAGAUUCUCAGGCGAAAGGAUUCAAACCAGUCAGAGUUGGAUAAUCGUGGAAAAAGGCCUUCUAUUGGAUUAAAUUCGAGCAAAUUGAGGUACAUAAGAAAAUGUCCUCUUUUCUUGUGGAGCGGGC